UACGAAGGGGGCUAGCGUUGCUCGGAAUCACUGGGCGUAAAGCGCACGUAGGCGGAUCUUUAAGUCGGUGGUGAAAUCCUGGAGCUCAACUCCAGAACUGCCUUCGAUACUGAGGAUCUCGAGUCCGGGAGAGGUGAGUGGAACUGCGAGUGUAGAGGUGAAAUUCGUAGAUAUUCGCAAGAACACCAGUGGCGAAGGCGGCUCACUGGCCCGGUACUGACGCUGAGGUGCGAAAGCGUGGGGAGCAAACAGG
rnacentral:rRNA from 1 species